rnacentral:rRNA from 1 species
UACGUAGGGGGCAAGCGUUGUCCGGAAUCAUUGGGCGUAAAGAGCGUGUAGGCGGCCCGAUAAGUCCGCUGUGAAAGUCCAGGGCUCAACCCUGGGAUGCCGGUGGAUACUGUCGGGCUAGAGUGCGGGAGAGGCGAGUGGAAUUCCUGGUGUAGCGGUGAAAUGCGCAGAUAUCAGGAGGAACACCAAUUGCGAAGGCAGCUCGCUGGAACGUAACUGACGCUGAGACGCGAAAGCGUGGGGAGCAAACAGG